UUCCCUUGCUCUCUUUUCUUUUUGUUCCAUCGGUCCUUCCACUUGCUAUAUAUAUAUUCUAUAAUAUAUGAAAAUUGUAAAUAUAUGUAAAAGUGAAAUGGAUCAGUUGAGAGUUGAGACAUGAAAGUACGUAUUAUGAGGAAGGGUACGCAACAAGAGGAAUGCAGUGCAUGUACAGAUACUGAACAAAUGGAUAACUAAAUUAAACUAGGUCUUCUCUCGUACGUUAUUGCAUAGUUGGAACUUUCACAUAUGAAAAUUAUAAAUAUACGGAUUACAGAAUAAUCUUUGUACUCUAAUCGACUACACGUACGUACGUAGCAUCUAAUUAAUUCUCUAUUAUAUUUCCCAAACUAUUUUUCUCUAUAUUGUGCCAUUACCUUUUAACGAUUGACUUAUUAUUCUUCAGCAAUUGUUUGAUUCUUGAUUCAUUUCCACUUGUUCGAUUCUAGCUUUUAUAUCUAGCGUGGGGGGUGUUUGUUUUCUUUUAAAUAUACGGAGUAACAUAAAAACUUGGGAUAGAGUUUCAAAACCAUUUUCUUAAAUGACUUAAAUUUUUGUGCAGAAAACAUGAAGAAAUAGCUAGAAACAAAAAAAAAAAGAACAAAAAUAAUCAUGCAAAACAUGAUGAACACAAACAAAUUAAAGAUUUUUCUCUCGUAUUAUAAAACAAUAAUUCUGUACGUUCGUAGUAGAAUAUACACAACUAUAAUUGACAAGGUAAACAUAAUUUGUUUUAUUUAUUAGUGAAUCACGUGUACUUUAUAUAGCUAUUUUAAAAAAUAAUUCUUAACUAUAUUAUAUAUUUUUGCUUAUAAAAUAAACUAUAUUAUAGUUUUAUAUGUUAAUGUCACAUUUUAAUUAUAUACAUGUAUACUGUAAACGAGUAAGUAUAUACAAUGAUUUUUUUUAAAUAUACUAUAAUUUUUGCAUUUUUGUGGGAUUUCAUUUGUUAUAUUUAUAUAUACUUUUUUUAUGGAUAUAGGAUUUAUUUUUUAAAAAAAAUGCAGGAUUCUAAAAAAUAAAAAAUAAAUAUAAGAAUAAUAAAGCGUAAAAGUAAAAAUCAAGAAACCUUGUUUUAAGAAAAGAAUUUAAAUAAGUAUAUAAUAGUGUAAUAAACUAAUUUACACACUAAAUGAAAUUAAAAUUCUUAAAAAAAAGUUAAAGGCGACAUUAAAAUAAAAAGAAUAUAUUACAUAAUACAUGAAGUUGUCUUUGAUUAAAAAUAAAUAAUUAAAAUGGUUAAGUUGUAUAUAGUGGAUAAAUAUGCAUAUGCAGUUGUGGAAUUUCUAGGUGUGGCUUUAGUCCAGAUGAAAAUGAAAGAGACCGAUGUUGGUUUCAGUGAAUGUUGACUGAUAAAUAUGGGGGUAGUGGUGGGGUGUGAAGCAGUUCUGUGUGUUUUUAUUCAUAUGCAUUUUGAUUUUGAUUUUUAUUGUUCAUUAUUUAAGUUUAUGCUCCUUCAUCUAAUUUUCUGUGACCUUGAAACCCUUACUUUUUUUUCUUCUUUUUUCUUUUUUUGGUAAGCUUGAACCCAGCUUUGGUUGUCAAUUCAAGAAAACAGAUCAGAACAUGAGUGACCAUUGACGUGUGUGUUUGUGCAAGAGAGAGAGGCAGAAAAACCACAUGUUAGUAGAUGCAAUAAAAAGCAACGAUUCACUAACCUUACCAUUAUUAGGAAUAGGACCCCCUUCAAAAUGAACUGCAGAAUGUACGCAGUUAUGAUUCUCAUCCUUCAUAUUAAUUAGAUUAAUUAAAUUUCUAAAGAUAAAUUUACCAUUUAACAAAUUAAAUCAAAGGACCAAUUUGGUGCAGAGAGUCUAUGUAUGUGACUACGUGGUGUGGCCUGAUGAUGAAGGACAUAUGAAGACUGAGGAGGUGCUGAGAGAAAGGUCUGGCUCUUUUCUUUUUUUUUUUUCUUGGGUAAAUUAACUGCUGUCCUUUUAUGCUAAAUAAGUUGAUAAAUGAUAAUUAGUGUUUUUAGAGGAUUGAUUAAGAAAAACUAAAGCAAGAAAAAAAAUAUGUAAAAUUAUAUUGUUGAUGAUUUUUUUAUAAUUUUUAUAAUAAAUAUUUUUUAAAAUUUCUUAAUGAAUGUUCUAAUAACUCUGAUCAGCAAAACUCAAAUAUUUAAUAGAAUUAUGAUAUUUAAACACUUAAAUUAUGAUAUUCAAACAUGCACCUGUCCAACAUCUUUCUUUUUUUAUUAUCACUUAUAAUAUUUAUAUUUUUUUAUCUUUUUAUUUUUCUCUCACUAGAUGUAAAUACCUCGGAAAAGAAACAAAAAUGGUGAAAUCAGUACAAAUUCAGAAGCAUGUGUCAUACCACCAACUUGUAUGAGAAUUGCUAGCCCCCCUGUUUUUCUGAGAAGGUUAAUUAUGCAAAUUUUGAUGGGCAUGGUUACCUGUUGGGGACUAAUUAAUUUGUCAACAAGUGAGAUGUUUGGAGAACGUUGAAAAAGAAGACCUUGUAAAACUAUUAUCAAGAAAUAAAACUUAAAAGUCCUUGGUAGAAUCAUACACACCUUAUUAAAUAGAACAUCUUGGGGUUCUUCAUAUAAUACAACCAGCUAUAUAUAAACUACUUAUACUACUGUGCUACUAUAUAUGAACAAAGUAGUGCGACACAGUGGCCGCAUUAGCCUCUUCAUCGUCCCUGCUAUUUUUCUUCGACUCCACGACAACAAUUGGCAUUCCCAUACGUACGUCAACGGUCCUGGUUGCCUUUGGCGACGAGAUAGCAUCAAAAUAAUAGGUAACUAAACUAGGUUUGGUGGUCUUCUCAGUAGAGCAUGGUUGGGAUGUUCAUAUGGGAAAACUAUAAAUACACAUAUUCCAGCUUAAUCUUUGCACUCUCACCGCAAGGGAAGCGUUUUUCUUCCGCACAUAAUUUAAUUAUGUAGCAU
rnacentral:lncRNA from 1 species